AGACAACAGUGGAGGGUUCGAGAAACAACCGUGUUUGCCGGGUGCACCGCGGCGGAGGUGGGGAGGUUCCAGCCGGGAACCUCCACCCCGCUGCGGGACCCGUG